UCAGCCCGUUAGCCUCCAAAGCAACGUAGGGAGGGGGGGUUAGAAAGACAUCCAUUAUAAAAACGGCCUUCUGACAGUUUACAGCUUGUUUUUAACUCUUUAUCUUAUUAAAGGUAAAACCAUUACAACAUCAUCAAAACAAUACCAACUCUGUGAGGCAGGUGGAGUGGCACCGACCGUCCUUACCCCCCCUCUCCUCUUCAGAUGGAUCCGUCCAUGAAGGGUCAGAGGUCAAGGGUGAAAUAAUAAAGUGAUAUCAGAACAGAGUGAGCAGAGAUGAAUGAAAACACAAUUAAACUGGAUCAUAAAGGACCAGAGGAAAGGGACUGCAAACGGACUACAGAGAGCCUCCCUUGUGUUCUGGUUCCUCCAUCUUCAACACAAUCUGUGGCAUAAUCCCAAUCUGGACCAGGAAACCCACCAUCCAGAUCAACCUCAGAUAGACCUGUACUGCUCUGGAGCUCCCUCUGCUGGGCUCAGCCAUGCACACACGAGCAGUCAAGAUCAAUUUAAGAUCAUCAGUGAGCUCUGUUCAGUUUUAUCAAUGUGUUACAUAUUUAAUAUUAAAAUCAGUCCACACUGAGCUACAAGGAAAUAUUUUAUUCAUGUUUUUGUGAUUCUUGACAGAGAAACCAUGGAUCAAACAAAGAGCAUACAACUGAAGAUCCCUCUGAAUUAUGUCUCAAGUAAAUGGAAUCAGUUUGAAAUCAUUCAUUGUUACUUAACAUGAAAAACAUAAAAUAUAAAACAUCA